rnacentral:rRNA from 1 species
CCUUCGGGGUGAGUGGCAGACGGGUGAGUAACGCGUGGGAACGUGCCCUUCAGUUCGGAAUAACCCAGGGAAACUUGGGCUAAUACCGGAUACGUGCGAGAGCAGAAAGAUUUAUCGCUGAAGGAUCGGCCCGCGUCUGAUUAGCUAGUUGGUGAGGUAAUGGCUCACCAAGGCGACGAUCAGUAGCUGGUCUGAGAGGAUGAUCAGCCACAUUGGGACUGAGACACGGCCCAAACUCCUACGGGAGGCAGCAGUGGGGAAUAUUGGACAAUGGGCGCAAGCCUGAUCCAGCCAUGCCGCGUGAGUGAUGAAGGCCUUAGGGUUGUAAAGCUCUUUCGUCCGGGACGAUAAUGACGGUACCGGAAGAAGAAGCCCCGGCUAACUUCGUGCCAGCAGCCGCGGUAAUACGAAGGGGGCUAGCGUUGUUCGGAAUCACUGGGCGUAAAGGGCGCGUAGGCGGCUUUGUAAGUCGGGGGUGAAAGCCUGUGGCUCAACCACAGAAUUGCCUUCGAUACUGCAUGGCUUGAGACCGGAAGAGGUAAGUGGAACUGCGAGUGUAUAGGUGAAAUUCGUAGAUAUUCGCAAGAACACCA